rnacentral:lncRNA from 1 species
CGUCAGAUUUUACUCUGCCUAGAAACAAAGGUUAUACAUGGACCAGGAGCCGUGCUGGAGCGGCACUCGUCGACGAUGGACGGCUGGACAUAUGAGUACUUCGUUGCCAUACUGUGGCGGCCGUGGCUGUGACUCUGCUCAUGAUGAUGCUUUAUUAUUGCAGAAGAUUUUACUUCAAACGUGAUGAUCGCCGGAGGACCUACAUGAAUUCAUUCUAUGAUGCGGAGUCCAGGGACACCAUAUACAAGGCAGAUGAGCCUCCUGGAAGCGCUACAGUGGACAGUGUCCCUCGAGGUAACGUGGAGUGUUCAGACGUAACCCUUGGGAGCGAACCAACUCGGUCCUCGGAAUGUCAGUUUUCGCCUGUCCAUCUUCACUCAUACGGCUUUUCAAACGUUAACUGAAUAAUUUGUGACACAAAUCAUUUCAUCCUUGGUGCAAAGUAUGAGUCUCAGUCAGUUCCCCCCCUCAGCCACCAGUCUGCAAUAUUCAAAUCUUUGCAAGUUCAUCACUCAGUGUUGGUACCACGGUGUCACUGUGCCGAUACUGGACGGACAUGUAGAUCGCACACUUGCACUAUAGACCGGAAAUGUCUUGAAAUGGUGCUCUAAGCUGAGCCAUCCUAGCAGAGAUGAUGGACUGCAGACCAGACGCACUGGACUAACAAGCACUGUGUUUAUUCCCCACAGAUCCGAACCCUCAGGAUCAGAUGAGACAAGGAGCUGCUGAUGCAGAUGGAGAAAAUCUUAUGACUUAGUUUGAGCCCCGGUUUGCUCUUUACAAGAACAAACCGUUUGCUCACGAAGUCCCAGGACAGAAGAGUUUGUGGGGCCGCAGUUUUCGGCUUCCUUUUUUGUUACUCCGUUGUUCACGUGUCACGGAAUUCUCAUGAUUUGGAGGACAACUGUUCAAAUGUGGUAAAAGCUGCGUGUGACUUUGUUUCUGUUUAUUGAUACUGUUGGUAUGAAUUUUAUGGCUGUUUGUUGCAUUCAGCACAGUAUGUGUUGUAAGCACAUUACUGUGGUACAACUGGACUUUACUGUAUUACGCAGCACACUGGAGCUGGUUACGCUUCAGUCACAUACUGGACGUGUUUUUACUAUCUUUGUGUGUUGAGGUCAUAGUUAUAGAAUGUCUGUUACAUAAACUCAAGAAUGGGGUGAACUUGAUCACCUUACACAUUAUAUACAUUUCAACUGAGUUCAUAUAAAUAAAUGCAAUCAAAGUUUAUUCUUGCGUAUUUCU